rnacentral:rRNA from 1 species
GAUGAACGCUGGCGGCGUGCCUAAUACAUGCAAGUCGAGCGAACAGACGAGGAGCUUGCUCCUCUGACGUUAGCGGCGGACGGGUGAGUAACACGUGGAUAACCUACCUAUAAGACUGGGAUAACUUCGGGAAACCGGAGCUAAUACCGGAUAAUAUAUUGAACCGCAUGGUUCAAUAGUGAAAGACGGUUUUGCUGUCACUUAUAGAUGGAUCCGCGCCGCAUUAGCUAGUUGGUAAGGUAACGGCUUACCAAGGCAACGAUGCGUAGCCGACCUGAGAGGAUGAUCGGCCACACUGGAACUGAGACACGGUCCAGACUCCUACGGGAGGCAGCAGUAGGGAAUAUUCCGCAAUGGGCGCAAGCCUGACGGAGCAACGCCGCGUGAGUGAUGAAGGUCUUCGGAUCGUAAAACUCUGUUAUUAGGGAAGAACAAAUGUGUAAGUAACUAUGCACGUCUUGACGGUACCUAAUCAGAAAGUCACGGCUAACUACGUG